GUGCCCUGUGCGUCGUCGGUGCCUCCCUAUUGUUUCACCCUCCGGACGGCUGCCGUCUUGCUCUAUUCCUCGACCCUAUCGUUGUUCUCCACCUUCCUUGAUAAGCUAUCCGUUUCUGCUGCCUCCUCCCUUCUGAUCUGGUGUAGUUGGCUUUACCGGCCGGAGCCAUCUCCUUGGCCUGGAGCUGCUGCUCUCGCCUCUCAGCCACCACCACGCUUAAUCCAUCAUGCUUAGCUCCGAGCACCAUGGCAUCCAACGUUCGUUCCCCAAGUUCGAUGCACCUCAUGGCUAGCGGCUCUCACCACUGCCGUGACCCGUGGAGGCCCCCUCCAUAGCUCGCUGGUGUGUGAGGUGUGCCCUCUGCUCAGUACCGCUGAGAAAGUAUCCAUUCUGGUCUUGCUGCAUCAGAGCAUGAUCCGCCCCUCUGGAUUGGCCAGACUUGAAGGCAGCGAUAUGCUGGCGGAAUAGAAAGGCAAGGCAAGAAGAGGCCAUGUUAACAUCCACGCCUUCAUCUGCUACUUUGUGUCAGGAACAAAAAAUAUUGCAUUCUCUCGCGACUUCUUGCAUCUUGGACCUCAAUGAUCUGUUCAGUUGUUUGUGAUAUAGUUGAUUUGAUUGAUAAAUUGAUAAUGAUGAGCAAAACAAGUGAUGUACACUAAUUGCCUAAUAUAAGCUAAUGCAGUUUAGUACUAAUAGAAUUCACUGGGUAUUCGAUUUCAAGCUAAUUAGUUAUAAGUGACUUUGUUUAACUCUGCAAAUGAGAUUCUAUUUGUUCAUUUUAGAAUGUGAAAUUUCUUUCCUGUAUGGCCAUUUGUUGCUUAUGUAAAAUAAUGAAAGACAGAUUGUCAAAA